rnacentral:misc_RNA from 1 species
AACCUAGCACACCUGCGGUGUGUACCUGCGGAAGGAUCAUUACCGAGUGCGGGUCCGCGUGGCCCAACCUCCCACCCGUGCCUAUUGUACCCUGUUGCUUCGGCGGGCCCGCCAGCCUUCGGGCUGGCCGCCGGGGGGCGUCUCGCCCCCGGGCCCGUGCCCGCCGGAGACCCCAACAUGAACCCUGUUCUGAAAGCUUGGUGUCUGAGUGUGAUUGUUUGCAAUCAGUUAAAACUUUCA